GAUGAAGAACGUAGCGAAAUGCGAUAAGUAAUGUGAAUUGCAGAAUUCAGUGAAUCAUCGAAUCUUUGAACGCACAUUGCGCCCGCCAGUAUUCUGGCGGGCAUGCCUGUUCGAGCGUCAUUUCAACCCUCAAGCACAGCUUGGUGUUGGGACUCGCGUUAAUUCGCGUUCCCCAAAUUGAUUGGCGGUCACGUCGAGCUUCCAUAGCGUAGUAGUAAAACCCUCGUUACUGGUAAUCGUCGCGGCCACGCCGUUAAACCCCAACUUCUGAAUGUUGACCUCGGAUCAGGUAGGAAUACCCGCUGAACUUGAGCAUAUCAAUAAGCGGAGGA
rnacentral:misc_RNA from 1 species